AAAACCUGAUUUGUCUUUAAAUAAAACAUACAUCAUUACAGUUCAUCGAAUAUAGAAUAUGUUUUAGGAGUUACCCAGUUCUUAAGAUCAUGCCAAAAAUCCAACACACGAUGUUAUUUUUUUUGACUGGUAUUUACUCCAUAUCUGAAGUUUUCUGCUCUUGGGAGACGUGUUCAGAAAACGGAAUUGCAUAUACAUUUGAAGAACAGAAAGUUAAUUGGGAUAAAGCAGCUGGGCAAUGCGAAGAUGCCGGUGGAUCUUUAGCUAUUAUUCGGUCGAGAUUUGAUAAGAAUUGUGUCGUCAAAAACCUAAAUCAAAGUGUUGGUUCCUAUUAUAUUGGAGGUUCAAAAUCCUCUUCUUCUGGACUUUGGACAUGGAUGGAUGACACUCCAGUUCCUAAGCCGGGAUACUGGGAGAAAGACGAACCAAACAAUUCCGGAGGAAUUGAAGAUUGCUUAGAGUUUCGGUUGUAUGAUUUAUUUUUGGAACGACGUAUCCUGCAGUGAGAGGAGUGCUUACGUUUGUCAAACCCCAAUAACUCCAUAUUGUGAAGACAUGCCAAACGUAGACUGUGUGCCGAUAAUUGAAAACACCAAAGACAUGGUUGAUUCUGCUCUCCAAGGAAAUUUAUCGAAGACAAAACUAAAGCUUAAAUAAAGAUAGAGCACUUCUAAACUUGCAAACACUUUCAACUGACAACGAACAAACUCCAGAAGACUUUGAUAAUUCAAUAGAUCUGCUGAAUAAAAUCGUUGAUGUUUCCAAUAAGUCUAACGUUUCACUUCCAAAGUCGAUAAUUGUGACAACAAUCGACAAUAUACUAGGAGAAAAUCACACUGCUGCUUGGAAUAACACUUCUACAAAGCAGGUAA